UCCAAAGGGAUCGCAUUGAUCUA
rnacentral:miRNA from 1 species